GACGAACGCUGGCGGCGUGCUUAACACAUGCAAGUCGAACGGAAGGGCCCUGCUUUUGUGGGGUGCUCGAGUGGCGAACGGGUGAGUAACACGUGAGUAACCUGCCCUUGACUUUGGGAUAACUUCAGGAAACUGGGGCUAAUACCGGAUAGGAGCUCCUGCUGCAUGGUGGGGGUUGGAAAGUUUCGGCGGUUGGGGAUGGACUCGCGGCUUAUCAGCUUGUUGGUGGGGUAGUGGCUUACCAAGGCUUUGACGGGUAGCCGGCCUGAGAGGGUGACCGGCCACAUUGGGACUGAGAUACGGCCCAGACUCCUACGGGAGGCAGCAGUGGGGAAUAUUGCACAAUGGGCGGAAGCCUGAUGCAGCAACGCCGCGUGCGGGAUUACGGCCUUCGGGUUGUAAACCGCUUUCGCCUGUGACGAAGCGUGAGUGACGGUAAUGGGUAAAGAAGCACCGGCUAACUACGUG
rnacentral:rRNA from 1 species